rnacentral:lncRNA from 1 species
GGUCCAGGAAAUAAAAGAAACGUUUAUUUUCAAAUAGUUUUAUCAAUAAAUAAAGGAUCAUGACAUGCAAGCAAGACAAACGCGGUCUCAUCGCCAUCAUACACACCACAAUUUAAUGUGUUGCAAAAAUUUUCUAUCCUUCUAACGUUUCAUCUCACGUUAUACUUUGAGGGUUGACGACGUGAACUACCACAUUAAAAACUGACUACAACACAAGUUCAAUUAAACUCCAAAUGAAACGAUAAUAAACAAUUUACAGAAAAUCUAUUAAAGCUAGUUAUGAGGAACACAAGCAAACAAUGGUGUGUGCUUCAUACUUGUGGAGAAAAGGAAACAGUUUUAGCAGUCUGGUCAGAUGCAUCUGCAAGGUUCUGGAACAUUCGCAAGAUCUCCGAGGUAUCCUCCAAGUAGUACUUGGCCUUGCUGGGCUUCUGCCCGACUGUGCACGCGAAAACUUCAGCUACUGGAGAGAGUGAACCGUCGUCCUUAGCACUCAUUAUCACCUCGAACAUGUCCUCAUCAGACCGGUCGUCACCUAUGCACAGCACAAAAUCCGGAAGCACUUCCUUCUUACGCGUCAUUGCUACAAUCCUCUCUGCUACAACGCCUUUGUUUACCCCCUAAACAAGAGCAUCAACAGCCAUUUUCCAGUUGCAUCAAUUUNCCUUCUCCAAGGAGCGCUGGUGCUGUGCUGCUCUCUCGUAGGGUGGCGAUGACUGCGCUGCUCCUUCAUGGGAUGGCGAUGACUGCGCUGCUCCUUCAUGGGAUGUCGAUCGUUGCGCUGCUCUCUCAAAGGGGGCGCUGGGAUCCUCCAUUCUUUGUCCUGCACUGUUAGUUUUCCUAUUUUGUGCAAUAAUCAUUAAGGCAGUAGAUCUUUCAUAUUGGUAACAUAUGGAGUACGGGUCGUGUGCUGCGCUGAUGAGGACCUUAUCCCUCAUCAACAAUAUUUGUCUAAGUUCUAAGAGAAUGUAUGUAAUCAGCAGUGACUGAUUUUUGGCUUUGUGAUUCUCUUCUUCGAUUCAAACUUUGAGGAAGCUUGGUUUUGCUGAGUGACGAAUUCGGCAGUGUUUCAGCUUAUGUUGUUGAAUCGGUGAAGAUUGAAAUGAUCCUCGAGCGCAAUUUAUAGGAGACGUCUUGAAUAGAUCCGUUGGUAGAGAUGGUCUUCAAGAUUUCUUCCGUUAGAGAGUAAUUUGAACUUGGGCUGAGGCUUCAAUCUUCGAGGUUCCUUGUUUUGGUGAGAACGGCUAUAUUGAAGAGUAGGAGAUGGGACAUCUUUGAAAAGGUAAUCACCAAAAGGAAUGGCCUCUGUAAAGAAAGGACGAUCCUGAGAUCUCUGCAUUUAAUGCAGUUGUACUUCUGGAGUGCGUGGCUUUCUUUGAACUUUGGAGAUUCAGUUCGAGGAAGAAUGUUUAACUGAUACUUGUCUUUAGUAUCAGUCCGCUGAAUCUACGUGGCGCGCAUUAAGUAAUCAGUCGAAACUGAUCCUUCGACUGAGAAGUCAAAUAUCAGUAUUUGACUUUGCCUUAAUCGUUACAUCAGUCGGCAUCUUCAGUCUUCAGUCUUCAGUCCUUCGUUCUUCAGUCUUCAGUCUUCAGAACAGCAACUAAACUAGAAAAAUAACUCUAACACUUGAGUUCGAACAGUUCUAGUCUAUUACAAGUGAAACCUAUUGAUUUUGGUAUCAUCAAAACUAGGAUUAGGAUAUUUCAUUAAGUUCCCAACACAUAUAGAACUAGACUACAUCAACACACAAACACAUAGAUAAGCACACACAGAGCAUCAUCAAUUAAUCCUAAAUUAGCUCAUAGAAUAAUUAAUCAAGUUCAAAAGCACCUUAGCAAACACAUUUAAAAACUUUUUGUAUAAAUGGAAAAAAUAUUUUUAGUUGGGGAAAAAUUCCCAAAAAUUCAAUUUAGAAAGCUAAGAGCAUAUUAUAAAACAUUCUUGAAUCGAUUAACUAAAAAUAAUUCACAUGAGAGAGAAAUUCCAAUUUAUGUCAUUUUUAACAAACUAAACUUGAGAUUUCUAUGUCAGAAAAUUCUCAAAAAUUCAACUUAAGCUCACAUAAUACACAAUAACACUAAUAUAUGAUCGUAUGACUCAAGAAAAAUCAAAAUUUGACUUUCCCUUCUUUAGCAUGUAUUCGGUCAACACACAAGUUUUUAGAGGACGAUUCGUUUCGUCUCAUAUCUCAUAUAUAGGCUCAAUUUAUCAUUAACAAGCCCCAUAUAAACAUCUUUAACUCAUAACUCAUCUUAUAUGAAAGAUCUCUUACAUACGUGCAAACAAAACUCAGUGAAUUUUCACAAAUCAACAUCAUUAACCAAUUUAAUCAUGCAAUCCUCCUUUAUAUAGUCCAAUUAGCAUAUAAAUAUCAUUAAUCCAAACAUUGACUUCAUUAAUCAAGAAUACCCAAAUCUUAGUAAACUAAACUCAAGCAAAUUCAUACAUAAUCAACAAUUAACCAAAAUUGAUCAUUAAUAAUCGUUUAUAUCAUACUUAAUAUCAAUUAACCUUAGCCAAUUUAAACAUUUAGCACAUAAAUCAAAAGGUCCAAUUUUUUAACAAACUAAACUUUUUGAAAAUCUCUAAUCAUGCUUAAAUCAUCAAUCAAGCCUUAUAUCUAUCAAAUUGACACACUUAAUAGCAUAAACAAGCAAUCAAUUAGUAAAUUAAAGCAUAGAAGCAAAUUUGUCCAAUUUAACCAAACUAACUCACACGAAAAUUUUACCAAUCAAUUCAAUCAUCAAUCCAUGAAACAUCAUAUAGACACUCUACAAAAGUAUAUAUCAUCCAUCAACUCAUCAAUCAAGACUCAAAAUCAAAACUUCCCAAAAUUACACAAACUAAACUAUUUCAAAUCUCAUCUCUUUUUAAAUCAUUUCUCUACACAUGGUAAUAGACUCAAUAGGAUCUCAGUACCAUUUAAAUAACCUCAAUUUAAGAAAAGGAAAAGAACAAUUUUUAAAGGGUAGAACCCUAAUAUUUUCGAAAAUUUUGAAAUUAGGGGAGGAGGUGUUUUCUUGCUUGAUCUAUCCAUAUAUACACAUAUACAACACAAAAAAAGUCUAGAUCUAAAAGGAUUCAUCACUUACUCAAGGAUUUGAACAAAAAUAAAAAUCUCCUCUUCUGGCUCAAAUCUUGAAAACUCCUCCAAAACUUGCUCUUGAUUCAAAGGGAUUGAGAUGUAGAGCUUGAUUUAGGAAAGAUCUAAGUAUGGAAAUGAUUUUUGGAGCUUGGAGAUGAUCAUCAAUGGUGGUAGAGAGAGAAAAGAAAGUGAGAAGGAGAGAGGGAGAGAGAGAUUGAAAUGAGGGGGAGAGAAGAGAGAGAGAGAAAUAUUUUGUUUAAAGCUUAAACUUGCUCACUAAGCUGCUAGUCUAACUUCUUCAAUACUCACACUUGCAAGUGGCUUAUCCACUUGUCCACUUGCCAAGAAUAUCUCUAAUUUAGAUUAAAGAAUAAAAUAUAAUGCCACACUAAUUAAUGAGAUCAAGCUUGUAGGAAAAGCUAAGUUAAGGAAAAUCAGUUACUAAUUAAAAACCAUAAAUCAAUAUCAUCUAAUGGUGUGAUAAAAAAAAUUAAUCAUAAUUAGAGCACACCUAAUUCACAUUACAUCAAACUCAUAAAAUCAAUUCCAAGAAAUUCCCUUAGGAAAAUUAUAUAAUAGAUAGCAAAAUCACAAUUCACCAUUUAAAAUAAUUAUCAUCUCUAUAUUACUACAUCCAAGAAAAAUUAUGAAUCAAUCAAUCUCAAAUAUAUUAUCACGGAGUAAUAAAAUAUCAAUUAUUCUCACUCAAACAUGACAUCUCAAUCAGUCAAAAUCUAACGAUAAUUUAAUCGUUUCGUGAAUUCGACUCAUCUCUAUAAUGAUUCCCACUCACAUACAUCGUCUCUAUUUCUUAUUCGGUUAUCACCGUAACCUUUAAUAAAAUAACUAUCACGAAAAUAAAUCUAUUUUCUAGACCGAAAAGAGAAACUAUAAUUUCAUUCUCAAUUCAUUCAACAUCUCUAUCUAAACUCAUUCUAUCAGUAUGAGUCACUCAAAAAUUCUAUUGUUGGACCUCUAAAAUACUCCUACCUUAGUUUGCUGUGAAACUUCGUCUCAUCAGUUAUAAGCUAAUGCUAAAAUCUUAGUACUCUUAAUGACGUCUCAAUAAUAUAAGUAAUAAGGAAAAUACGAGGUGUUACAAAAGUACAAUUAAUUGAUUUUUUAUAAGAAAAACUAGCAAUAUAAUAAUCAUGACAAGCAAAAGAAAACGAUGAACCUUCAAGAUGAUGAACCGGAUGAAAGCAAAUUUGCAUGUGCAAGAACGAGAGAUGAAGAACGAGAAUAAGUAUAGAGAGCGCGAGAAGAUUAUAUUAGCGAGAGUGAUAGAGGGCGAUAAAUUAGGAUUAUAGACAGUGGCAGACCCAAGAUUUUGAAUCUAUGAGUACGACAAAUAAUUAGGUGUUUUGUCAUUCCUUUUAAAUGAAGAUAGGUGGAUUCCCAUUGUCUACCGUAAAGAGCAUGAACUCUCACUCUCUUCAGAUUUCAUUUUGUUGAACAUAAAUUGUCGAAGAUCGGAUUAUUUUUUCAUUCUUUUUUAUUUUUUUUAAUUAGGUAUUUCACUUGUUAUUCCUAUAUUUAAUACACAAAUGUAAAACUACUAAAACAAAACUAAAGCUAUUUAGAAACACAAAUAACUUCGCAUAUCAAAUAGACAAGAAUAUAAUUUACAAAUGAGUUGGUUAUUUGAUAAGUUAUGUGCACUACAUAUUAAACCUAAUUUAAACGGAAAAAAUAUAGUAAUACCUUAAAAUUAGAUGGAAGAGCUUGAUUUCAGACGAGUAGGUAGAGGACACAAUGAAAUUGAAAUAAAUAAAAUAUAUUUUUCCUAACUCAAAAUCUCUUGCUAACCCUUUCUAUUUUUUUAAGCUGCUAUCGACUGACUCUCUCUGUCUCUCAACCCCAUCUUAGUUUAAUUUGUUAUUUUUUUUAAAUAAUUAAACACAACAAUUGUUUUUCUUUUUUUGAUAAAUUAUAUAAAUAAAUAAAAAUAAUUUAAAGAUCGUACAGCGGAGGACUCAAACCUAAAACGUUAGAUUUUAAACAUUAACCUCCUACCGUUAUUAGACCAAUACAAGCACACCAUCAACUCCUUUUGUUAUAUUGGAUCGGGGUUGAGUAAGUAAAAUCCCAAAGCCCAAAUAUAAAGGGUGAAAGGAAGGGAUAUGCUCAGUUUUUUUUAGGGGUACAAAUUAAUAUGAAAAAUAUUUUUAAUACAUAAUACUAUAUAAUAGUAUUUUUUAUUUUUUAUUUUGGGAAACGAAGAUAUAUUAUUGAUCGCAAGAACAAGGUAAAUGGAAAUGACCCACCAAAAGGAUGAAGUUCAUUCCAAAUAUGAUGCGAUGGAAAAAUCUCUCCAACUUUCGCUAAAAAUGAGCUAUAACAUUCGCUCGGAUUAACAUGACUAAUAUGAAAACCGGGGAUCGUUCUAAGCUCGGCUCGAACCCCAUCGCCUUAUUAUGCGUUCGUCACCGACUCAUUGUUCAUAAUUAUGAGCCAUUAUUUUAUUAAAGGCUUUGAAUUUAAAUCAAAAAGCCUUAAACAUUGCGAAGUCUCCAAUCAAAAAUCAAAAGAUCGACCUAACUAAACUAGGAAAUGAAGUCAUAAUGGUCCAGGAAAUAAAAGAAACAUUUAUUUUCAAAUAGUUUUAUCAAUAAAUAAAGGAUCAUGACAUGCAAGAAAGACAAACGCGGUCUCAUCGCCAUCAUACACACCACAAUUUAAUGUGUUGCAAAAAAUUUCUAUCCUUCUAACGUUUCAUCUCACGUUAUACGUUGAGGGUUGACGACGUGAACUAUCACAUUAAAAACUGACUACAACACAAGUUCAAACUCCAAAUGAAACGAUAAUAAAUAAUUUACAGAAAAUCUAUUAAAGCUAGUUAUGAGGAACACAAGCAAACAAUGGUGUGUGCUUCAUACUUGUGGAGAAAAGGAAACAGUUUUAGCAGUCUGGUCAGAUGCAUCUGCAAGGUUCUGGAACAUUCGCAAGAUCUCCGAGGUAUCCUCCAAGUAGUACUUGGCCUUGCUGGGCUUCUGCCCGACUGUGCACGCGAAAACUUCAGCUACUGGAGAGAGUGAACCGUCGUCCUUAGCACUCAUUAUCACCUCGAACAUGUCCUCAUCAGACCGGUCGUCACCUAUGCAC